AGUGAACGCUGGCGGUAGGCCUAACACAUGCAAGUCGAACGGCAGCACAGUAAGAGCUUGCUCUUACGGGUGGCGAGUGGCGGACGGGUGAGGAAUACAUCGGAAUCUACUUUUUCGUGGGGGAUAACGUAGGGAAACUUACGCUAAUACCGCAUACGACCUACGGGUGAAAGCAGGGGAUCUUCGGACCUUGCGCGAUUGAAUGAGCCGAUGUCGGAUUAGCUAGUUGGCGGGGUAAAGGCCCACCAAGGCGACGAUCCGUAGCUGGUCUGAGAGGAUGAUCAGCCAAACUGGAACUGGGGAAAGGGCCCGACUCCUACGGGAAGGAGCAGUGGGGAAAAGUGGACAAUGGGGGGAAAGCUUGACCAAGCAUACCGGGUGGGUGAAGAAGGCCUUCGGGUUGUAAAGCCCUUUUGUUGGGAAAGAAAAGCAGCAGGUUAAUACCCCGCUGUUCUGACGGUACCCAAAGAAUAAGCACCGGCUAACUUCGUG
rnacentral:rRNA from 1 species